AGAGUUUGAUCAUGGCUCAGAACGAACGCUGGCGGCGUGGAUCAGACAUGCAAGUCGAACGGGGUUAAUCUGGUAGCAAUAUUGGGUUAAUCUAGUGGCGAACGGGUGCGUAACACGUGACCAACCUGCCUAGAAGUGGGGGAUAGCUCGCCGAAAGGCGAAUUAAUACCGCAUGUGAUCGUAAGAUUAAAGCAGCAAUGCGCUUUUAGAGGGGGCCGCGGCCUAUCAGCUAGUUGGUGAGGUAAAGGCUUACCAAGGCAGCGACGGGUAGCUGGUCUGAGAGGACGACCAGCCACACUGGAACUGAGACACGGUCCAGACACCUACGGGUGGCAGCAGUCGAGAAUUUUUCUCAAUGGGGGAAACCCUGAAGGAGCGACGCCGCGUGGAGGAUGAAGGCUUUCGGGUUGUAAACUCCUGUCAUCUGGGAACAAAACUCGCAAGAGCUUGAUAGUACCAGAAGAGGAAGAGACGGCUAACUCUGUGCCAGCAGCCGCGGUAAUACAGAGGUCUCAAGCGUUGUUCGGAUUCAUUGGGCGUAAAGGGCGCGUAGGCGGUGGGGUAAGUCUGGUGUGAAAUCUCGGAGCUCAACUCCGAAAUUGCACUGGAUACUGCUCUGCUAGAGGGCUGGAGAGGAGAUCGGAAUUCACGGUGUAGCAGUGAAAUGCGUAGAUAUCGUGAGGAAGACCAGUGGCGAAGGCGGAUCUCUGGACAGCUCCUGACGCUGAGGCGCGAAGGCUAGGGGAGCAAACGGGAUUAGAUACCCCAGUAGUCC
rnacentral:rRNA from 1 species